CUGCCUCAGGCGCCCAAGUAGCUGGGACUACAGGCGCCCGUCACCACGCCCGGCUAAUUUUUUGUAUUUUUAGUAGAGACGGGGUUUCACGGUGUUAGCCAGGAUGGUCUGGAUCUCCUGACCUCGUGAUCCGCCUCGGCCUCCCAAACUGCUGGGAUUACAGGCGUGAGCCACCACCCCCGGCCGCAGAAAUAUUUUAAUGCCAUUUUAGAAGGUGACUCAGAAGGUUGCUGGUUUUGAGAAGGCUCUACAGCAGGUGCAGGCUGUGGUCCAAGAGUGACAAUGUACCUCAUCACCCAAGAGCUGUCAUGGAGGUGUACAAGGAUAUUAAUGUUGUUUUCAUUCCUGUUGACACAACAUCCAAUCUGCAGACCAUAGAUCAAGGAGUCAUUUUUACUUUAAAGUCUUAUUAUUUAAGAAAUACAUUUUAUAAGGCUAUAGCUGCUAUAGACAGUGAUUUCUCUGAUGGAACUGGGCAAAGUAAAUUAAAAAAUAACUCUUGGAAAGUAUUCUCCAUUCAAGAUACCUUUAAGAAUGUUCAUGAUUCAUGGAAGAAAGUCAAAAUAUCAACAUUUAUAGGAGUUUGAAGAAGUUGAUUCUAAUCCUCACGGAUGACUUUGAAGAUUCAAGAUUUUAGAAAAUAGAUGUAAAUGGCAUGGAAAGAACAAGAGAAAAAUAAUUAGAAGUGGAGCCUGAAGAUGUGACCAAAUUGUAUGAAUCUCAUAAUAAAACUUUAACAAUUGAGGGGUUGUUCCUUACGGGUGAACAGAGAAAGUGGUAUCUUGAGAUGCUUACAGAUGAGCAAAGAAGUGGUUUCAUAUUCAUCUCCUGGUGAAGAUGGUGUGAACAUUGUUAAACUGACAACAAAUAUUUACAAUAUUACAUCAACUUAAUUAACUAAGCAGUGGCAGAGUUUGAGAGGAUUCACUCCAACUUUAAAAGUAGUUCUACUGUAAGUGAAAUGCUAUCAAACAACACUGCAUGCUACACAGAAAACUUUCACGAAAGGAAGAGCCAGUCGAUGCAUCAAACUUCAUUGCUAUUUUACUUACCACAGCUGCCCCAAACUUAAGCAACCAACACCCUGAUCAGCCAGCAAGCAUCAACAUUAAGGCCAGCAGAAAGAUUAUAACUCAUGGGAGGCUUAAAUAAUUAUUAGCACGUUUGUAGCAAAUAAGUAUUAUUAAAUUAAGAUGUAGUUUUUAGACAUUAUGUUAUUUUACACUUAACAGAUGACUUUUAUAUUCACUGAGAAAUAAACAAACAAAAAUUAUGUAACUCACUGUAGUGCCAUGGUCUGGAACCAAACCCGCAAUAUUUCUGAGGUAUGCAUACAUUUGAUAAAGGACUAGAACAUUUGUACUGCAAAAUAAGGACUAAAUCAAUGUUAGUUUAUAGCUUAAUUCAAAGUUACCUUUGUACAGACAUAUAUACUAGAAUCUUCAGAAAAACUUGCACUAAAGUCCUUAAACUUUUAUCAGCUAAAAGCUAUGAAGCAUUUGAUGAUACGUAAUUUCUUUAUUUAAAAUAAAUAUAAUGCAG
rnacentral:lncRNA from 10 species